UACGAAGGGGGCGAGCGUUGUUCGGAAUCACUGGGCGUAAAGGGUGCGUAGGCGGGUCUUUAAGUCAGGGGGGAAAUCCUGGAGCUCAACUCCAGAACUGCCUUUGAUACUGAGGAUCUUGAGUGCGGGAGAGGUGAGUGGAACUGCGAGUGUAGAGGUGAAAUUCGUAGAUAUUCGCAAGAACACCAGUGGCGAAGGCGGCUCACUGGCCCGAUACUGACGCUGAGGCACGAAAGCGUGGGGAGCAAACAGG
rnacentral:rRNA from 1 species